CCUUCUUGGUUUAAUCUCCACAUGUUGUUGGAAAAGGGAAAAACCUGACAUUUGAAGCAUAACUCUGAUUUUCAUGGAAACUUGGACGUCCGUGGGUGUGAGUACGAUUUUAAGCGCAUAAGAGCGAGUGGAUGAGGGCAGCGCUGCACGGCCCACGGUAAAGUUCUCCAUCACCACAGGCCCUUUUCUGGCAGGGGACUGUGACUUUGAAAUCGAACAGGCCCGCAGGACGGAUCAGUGCGUCUGCUCAACAUAAGUCAGUGUGAAAAGUCCGAUGUUAUGACAGCCAAAGAGGAGACCACAGCCCCCAACGGGACUAACGCCUCUGCAAACUCCAAACUACAGAAACCAGUGGAGGAACGGGUUUCGCUUCUCCUCGAAUACACUUGAAGGCCAGUGGACUGAUGCUAAAGUCAACAUGAUGCCGGUCAACAGAAGAGAGAAUGAAAGACUCCCCCACACUGCCUCAGCUAUGAAGAGAUAUGUGAGAGAAGAAGGAAGCGUCUCACCAGCUGACAGCUGCAACGAGACAGACACACACAUGUACAUGCUCUCUCCAUCAUGCCUGUCAACACACAUGCAACAUGAUAAAACCACACAAUUAAAGGAAUGCUUCAGUAUACAAGUGGAUGAAAUAGUUGAUUUACU